rnacentral:rRNA from 1 species
UACGGAGGGGGCUAGCGUUGUUCGGAAUUACUGGGCGUAAAGCGCACGUAGGCGGCUACUCAAGUCAGAGGUGAAAGCCUGGAGCUCAACUCCAGAACUGCCUUUGAAACUAGGUGGCUUGAAUCAUGGAGAGGCGGGUGGAAUUCCGAGUGUAGAGGUGAAAUUCGUAGAUAUUCGGAAGAACACCAGUGGCGAAGGCGGCCCGCUGGACAUGUAUUGACGCUGAGGUGCGAAAGCGUGGGGAGCAAACAGG